rnacentral:rRNA from 1 species
CUGNCGUCAGCUCGUGUCGUGAGAUGUUGGGUUAAGUCCCGUAACGAGCGCAACCCUUGUCCUUAGUUACCAGCACGUUAUGGGGGGCACUCUAAGGAGACUGCCGGUGACAAACCGGAGGAAGGUGGGGAUGACGUCAAGUCAUCAUGGCCCUUACGGCCUGGGCUACACACGUGNUCCAAUGGUCGGUACAGAGGGUUGCCAAGCCGCGAGGUGGAGCUAAUCUCACAAAACCGAUCGUAGUCCGGAUCGCAGUCUGCAACUCGCCUGCGUGAAGUC